CCUACGGGAGGCAGCAGUGGGGAAUAUUGCACAAUGGGCGAAACCCUGAUGCAGCAACGCCGCGUGAGUGAAGAAGGUCUUCGGAUUGUAAAGCUCUGUUAGCAGGGACGAGGAGGGACGGUACCUGUCGAGGAUGCCACGGCUAAAUACGUCCCAGCAGCCGCGGUAAUACUCAGGUGGCAAGCGUUGUUCGGAAUAACUGGGCGUAAAGUAGGCGUAGUCGGUAAAACAAGAUAUAUGUUAAAUAUAUAGGCUUAACCUGUGGAAAGCAUAUAAAACUGUCUAACUAGAGUGCAGGAGAGGAAAGUGGAAUUCCUGGUGUAGCGGUGAAAUGCGUAGAGAUUAGGAAGAACACCAGUGGCGAAGGCGACUUACUGGACUGUAACUGACGCUGAGGCAUGAGAGCGUGGGGAGCAAACAGGAUUAGAUACCCUUGUAGUC
rnacentral:rRNA from 1 species